AGAUGCAGCCCAGAGAGAUGAGCAUGUAACACACAGCAAGAAUGCAGCCACCAGGCAAGCCAAGGAGAGAGCCUUCAGAAGAAACCAACCCUGCCGACACCUUGACCUCAGACUUCCAGCCUCUAAAACGGUGAGAAAAUAAAUCUCUGUUGUUUAAGCUGCCCAGUCUGUGGCCUUAGUUAUAGCAGUCCUAGAAAAUUGAUAUACUCUGUAUCUUAAAACAAAACAACGCAGGCUUUUACAAAAAAAUUGGCUCCAAGUAGACUCUAAGUAGCUUAUAUUUUCUCAAAUUUCUGUGGCAAGAACAGUAAGGACCUUGCUAUUUGGAGGGGGAUGGUGCAGCGGAGGACGAGAGGAAUAUUCCUUGAGAACCCAGGCAAAUUGGUAUCUCAGUAAAUUGUCCUUCCAUGGGCUGGUUUCUGUUUGCCCACUGCUCCUGCCUGGUUUUCUUCUUGUGACAGAACAGAUCUCCUUGCCUUAUCGACCUAGUACCUACUUAUCUACCUCCACCCCAUCCUCUUGAAGCACUUAUUUGCCUGGUGCAAAAUUCCAGAUAUGUAACUCUCCUUUAACUGAUUCAUAUUGGCGGGAUUAGAAGAUUUGAGGGCAAUGACACACUAGAGCCAAAAAGGACUUCUGACCACACUUGUGUCCCAGGAGGUGAGGGGGGUUUUAAAGGAUUUGUCCUGAACAUGAUUUGUCAAAGAUUGUUUUAUAGAAACAUCCUCAAUAUUUAUUGAGGCUCUGGCCGAUCUGUGACCCAAGUGAGUCAAUUGAUUGUUGAGCCCAGUUUCCACAUUCAUAUUAAAAGUCAUUUGAUUGUUGAGCCCAGUUUCCACAUUCAUAUUAAAAGUCAAUUGGAAAAGACAGGAUUUCCAAGCAGUUUAUAACCUGCUUUAUUUCCCUUCCUUUCUACCACCCCGUGAUUUUGGUAACUUUAUUACUCUGAUUGGAAAAAAUUGUUGUCUAAUGAUAUUAAAAUGUGCAGCUACUGAUAAACUGUGACCAGUUCUUGGCUUUUUGCAAGAGCUGGGAAUAUCAGGUGUCAUUAAAUAUUUUAUCUCCCUUCCUUCAUGCUAUGACUUUAAUACUGUGUUCAAAGAUCAUUACUCAGUAAUGCUGGCAAGGCUCCCCUCCUUUGAAGACAUUCUUUACAAGAGCAUGUAAUAUUCAUUAUUACUCUCAGUUGCCUGCUUUUUUCCAUGAUAUGUCCUCUCCCCCCCAAAAAAGGUUUCACUGAGGGUGAAUUAUUCUAGGUAGGACUUAAGCACUAUAGGAAGCUACGAGUAAAACAAUCUAGAGUUUGCACAAUUUUCCAUGAACAUUGGCAGGGUGUAUUUUAGAGCAAAAUGUGUUUUUAUGGCACUGCAGGUCCUGAUUCAUGUGAAGUCUUCUUCAAUCUGGGGGCUGGUGCUCCAAGGUUAUACACAACUUUCAAAGAGUGGGUUUUUAGGGCGGCUAGACCUUUAUCUAUACGAUGGGAGAGUUAGCAAGCAUGCUACAGAAAGGGGACCAAAAAGCAUGUAAUAAAACUGUAAGACACAAGGAGUAAGAAGGAAAAACGUUUGCAGCUCUAUGAGUCACUGGAUGGUGUCUCCAAGUUUUCCUCCCUAGUGAUUAUUUUUAACAAUGAGAACCAUCCAUGUCUUACUUGAGAGGGCUUAGGCGUUCCCUUGAUAAAGGUUAGGAAGAUGAAAAAAAUGAAUUCAGAUGCUGUUGAGGUCCCUCCUUAGGAGGCACCACCAGAGAGAUUACUCUCAGGUCUUGACAUCCAACCAGGCUGCUCUUGAACAGUUUACUUUCAGUCUCACAACGGAUGGUCUUUCUGUCAUCUCUUUGGCCAUUAGGCAGCUUAAAUGAACUCUCCAGGGUCACUUCUUGUACCUGGACAGGGCCCCAUGUUAUGUUUGUCUGCAUUCUGAUCUUACCUCUGGUUUUUACUAACUUUCUAUUCUCAUUUGUCUUUGCCCUGAUUCCUUCAACUAUUUUAUUCUUUUGUGAUGUAUAUACUUUUGUAAGUUGGCUGAAAUCCUUUGUGGAUUGAGGUGAGGGUAAAUAUAGGCAAAGGAGGAAAAUGAAUUAUGGAGUUUCCAUUGCACCUGACACUUCUGUGUAAUAGGAUAUUGGGAGAUUAGGCACGAUGAGGGAUGUCUCUUUCCAAAGUAUUUUGUGUUUUGUUCUUAUAGGCACUUGUAGGUAUUUUUGGACCUUAAAAUUGGAACACAUGUUCUUAGAUAGGGUCUACCAUAAUAGCAACAGGAUAGAAUAUUUGGAACAGUUCUGCUAAAUAGAGGAUGAAUAAUCUAUUCAUUAUUAUGAAUAGAUUAAAUAAUACAUAAAGAGCAAAGGAGAAUUCAGGGAAGUAAGAGAAACAAUAUACAUUUCUACAAUUUAAAAGGGUUUAAGUUUUAUUUUACAAGCUGCAGAUAAAGUAAUUAUAAAAUUCAUAACACUAAAUUGCUACCCAUAUAUUUUUUUAACCAAGGCUGAAACAUGUCUUUUGGAUUGGAGGAAUUUAUUUAUUUUAAAAAAACGAUCAUAGUUUGUCCGGGUGAGGUGGCUCAUGCCUGUAAUCCCAGCACUUUGGGAGGCUGAAGCAGGCGGAUCACCUGAGGUCAGGAGUUCAAGACCAGCCUGGCCAACAUGAUGAAACUCCGUCUCUACUAAAAAUACAAAAAUUAGCUGGAU
rnacentral:lncRNA from 1 species